rnacentral:lncRNA from 1 species
UUAUAACUAUGCUGGAUACAUAUUCCUCAUUAUUAUAAUGACAAUCCUGAUCUCAAUCCUUGUUAUUGGAGGAUGCAUAUUGUAUAAAAAGCUGAAAGACGGAGAUAAAACACUGUAAGUUUAUACUUCAAAUUAUUAAAAAUUUUCUUGUCUAUCAGUUUUUUUUAACCAAAUGUCUGCAGUGAAUUAGUAUGACUAGUUUCUUUGUCUGUACAAGUAAGUUGUGUUUGUACUAUACAUUAAGUGUUCAACAAAGUCGAGUUAAACUCGAAAGAAGACAUUUGAUGAAUUGCUUUUUUAUUAUUAAUUAAGUAUUUUAAUGUAUUAGGAGAAGGCUCAGAGGAUUUUCAUACACAAAGUAGACUAUGAUUGAAACAAAAACUCUGAAGACAAGUAAAUACGAAAAGUGUAACUGACUGCCUCUAAGCACCACUGUUCUUCAACAGUCAUUUUCUUGAUUAUUUAUUCAUAGAUUGCUUUAGAAGAAUUGGUAAUGAUGUGUUGCAAAUAUCUUUUUUUGUGUUCAUUCAAAAAUAAAAGCACAACUAGAAAUAUAUAAAUGGCUUAAAAAAAUGAAGGGAAUUUUAUUCGUAUACCUUAUUAGAUUGUAUACCAUUUAUAUUUUUUUGCUCUCAAUAUUUUGACUUUCUAGAAAAAAAAGACCUUUUAAAUGCUAAAAUGUUGUUUGAAAUGGUAUUUACAUAAGUAUACCGGGUUUUUUUAUGCCAGGUUCCGUUUGUGUGUAGUUUAAACUGGCCUCUUGUGUUUGUGAUACAACAUCUGUAUGUUUUAAGCACAGACUUGCUCUCCGGAUACUACUGUUUUUGUAGACUAUUACACAAUAUGUACAAUGAAGAUCUCGAGAGGACCUCCUCGUAUAUGUUAUUCAUAUAAAAAAAGAAGAUGUGGUAUGAUUGCCAAUGAGAAAACUCUCCACAAAAGACCAAUAUGACACAGAAAUUAACAAAUAUAGGUAACCGUACGGCCUUUAACAAUGAGCAAAGCUAAUAUCGAAUAAUCAGCUAUAAAAGACAACCACUGAAUUACAGGCUCCUGACUUGGGACAGGCACCUACAUACACAAUGUGGCGGGGUUUAACAUGUUAGCGGGAUCCCAACCCUCCCCUAACCUGGGACAGUUGUUAUAACAGUACAUCAUACAUGUAAGAACAAACUAUAACAAUCAGUUGAAAAAGGCCUAACUCGUCAGAUGGACAAAAAUACAAGUGGACGUGGCCGGGUACUUUUAUAUCCCAACCAACAACAAAAAGACACUUGUACGUCACAACCAACAAGAAAAGGACACUUGGAACAGAUCUUAUGGUCCCUGAUUGUACCAAAUGCUCACACUUAAAGUCUCUUUAGUAAUGCGAGAGUCCAAAUUAUUUAAAAAUCUAAAACUUUAUACAAAUUACGAAGAGUUGAUGUAAUCGAGAAGAACCACAUUUAUAACCAAUGAGUCGCUUUUACCUUAAAAUCAUGAUAAUCAAAACAUUUUGCAUUGCCAUUUCAGGAAAGAUACACUGUGUUGUCGAAAUAAACAUCAAAUCCAAAAUCAAGAUCAAUUGGAACUGUCUGGGAGAGAUUUCCCUAGAAUUAAGACAGCUAAACUAAGGAAAGUUAUAUAAUAAUCGUGUAACCUUGCCGACUCAGCAAACGGUGGAAUAUUCAAUUUGGUACUAUCAUGAUUGAAAUACAAGUUAUUAUUCCAUAUGAUGUUAUUGUAAUGAAGGAGAAAAAAACACCAAACGAAUUUAAAUUUCUUUUCAUGUGCUGAAUAAAGCAAAACACUUCAUAAGGUUCAAUGUGUAAGAAAUAUAGUCGUCCACGGUCUUUGAUUAGAAUUAUUAAACGUAAGGGUAAUAAUAUGAAUAUUCAAUAUCUCUCAUUUUGGAUUUUAUAAUUAUAUAUUAAAAAAAGCUAUGCUUAUAUUCAAUUACAUUAAGCACGACAUUAUAUGUAUACUAGUAAAUAUGUAGAGCUAUUCGCGUGACAUGAAUAAUAAAAAAACCGAUUGUGAAUUAUUUAUUGGAUAACAAGUUAACGUAAAGUUAUACACCCAUUAAUGUAAAAAAUAAUUAUUUGUAAAUUACCACCUGUUUUUAUUUUGAACAAUUCCUUUUUUGUGCUUGAACUUUAAUAAAUCCUUAUUGUAGUUUAUAUUUGUUUUAUUGUAACCGAUUUCAUGAAUUUUGUAGGCGAUUUGUUUUAAAUGUUAAUACAAGCGUUUACUUGAUACUCACC